rnacentral:rRNA from 1 species
UACGAAGGGGGCUAGCGUUGUUCGGAAUCACUGGGCGUAAAGCGCUCGUAGGCGGAUCGUUAAGUCGGGGGUGAAAUCCCAGGGCUCAACCCUGGAACUGCCUUCGAUACUGGCGAUCUUCGAGUCCGGGAGAGGUGAGUGGAACUCCGAGUGUAGAGGUGAAAUUCGUAGAUAUUCGGAAGAACACCAGUGGCGAAGGCGGCUCACUGGCCCGGUACUGACGCUGAGGUGCGAAAGCGUGGGGAGCAAACAGG